UACGUAGGGUGCAAGCGUUGUCCGGAAUUAUUGGGCGUAAAGAGCUCGUAGGUGGCUUGUCGCGUCGGUUGUGAAAGCCCACAGCUUAACUGUGGGUCUGCAUUCGAUACGGGCAGGCUAGAGGUAGGUAGGGGAGAACGGAAUUCCUGGUGUAGCGGUGAAAUGCGCAGAUAUCAGGAGGAACUCCGGUGGCGAAGGCGGCACGCUGGACCCCUUCUGACGCUGAGGCGCGAAAGCCAGGGGAGCGAACGGG
rnacentral:rRNA from 1 species